ACGGAUGGAACCGUUACAGUAAAUAGGAUGUUUACUGGUCAGGAUGACACUUAGGACAACCCAGGAUGGGGGCUUAAGGAAACACUUCAGGACGAAGUAAUGGACACCCUCAGGAAGAGGAUGAGAGUCGAGACAGGAUGGCUCGAUGGGUCAAGGUAAGACCGAAGGACACCUCCAGGAAGGAGAGAUAAGGAUAGUGCUGAAGGAAUCAGCCACUGAUCAAGGAAUGAUGCAGGGAGCACAUUCGUAGCCGGAUAGCUGCAAGUAAGACCUUAGGGCGCGACGAAAGUCGCGCCCGUUCUUGUUUAU
rfam:Enterovibrio nigricans DSM 22720 genome assembly, contig: BP91DRAFT_scaffold00011.11